rnacentral:rRNA from 1 species
GAUGAACGCUGGCGGCGUGCCUAAUACAUGCAAGUCGAGCGAACGGACGAGAAGCUUGCUUUUCUGAUGUUAGCGGCGGACGGGUGAGUAACACGUGGAUAACCUACCUAUAAGACUGGGAUAACUUCGGGAAACCGGAGCUAAUACCGGAUAAUAUUUUGAACCGCAUGGUUCAAAAGUGAAAGACGGUCUUGCUGUCACUUAUAGAUGGAUCCGCGCUGCAUUAGCUAGUUGGUAAGGUAACGGCUUACCAAGGCAACGAUGCAUAGCCGACCUGAGAGGGUGAUCGGCCACACUGGAACUGAGACACGGUCCAGACUCCUACGGGAGGCAGCAGUAGGGAAUCUUCCGCAAUGGGCGAAAGCCUGACGGAGCAACGCCGCGUGAGUGAUGAAGGUCUUCGGAUCGUAAAACUCUGUUAUUAGGGAAGAACAUAUGUGUAGGUAACUGUGCACAUCUUGACGGUACCUAACCAGAAAGCCACGGCUAACUACGUG